GCAAGCAAGCCGUUAAAGGGAAAUCGCCAUAGCGAUAAACGACGGAUGGCGGCCAAACCACCGGCCGCAAAGCGCCUGAGGAGCGGCGCUGCCUCCGCUUCCAGGGACAUUUCAAGCAUCGGCGCUCCCACGUGACAGCUCCUAAUAUUUUUUUUAAAUUUUGAUCAGGCUUCUCUGCGGGCUGCCGGGCGCUGAGGCCCGAAGAGGGAACGCCGCACGGGGGCUGCCGGGAGUUGUAGUUCCGGGCCGGACGGGAUCGAAGCGCGCGCCUCCGGCCGCCAUUUUGCGGGCGCCCUGAGGGGUCCGUGAGGGGCAGCGGGGCUCGGCUUCACCCCAUGCUCGUGGGGGCGCCCGAGGUGUGUCAGUGUACAUUUAUUCCCAUCGUAGGAGCAGGGGCCGAGCAGGGAGUGCUCCUGGGAAACGCUCAGGGAAUACAGGCCAGGUAGCAUCUGGAACAGAAGAGAGGAGCCUCCGCUUGCACGGGACCGGGAGAAGAACACCUCAGUUGUAGCAAAAACAUGAGGCGUUUUGUGCAUAACCCGGCCCAAGUCCGCCCAUCUGCAGCUUUGGUCUUCACACUGAGGCAGGAAAACCUUCCUUGCGCCUCACUCCUGCCAAAAACACCCUGAGGAUCGGGGUUCUCCGUGCCGGGGAGCGGGGUGGAGCAGCACGGCCCGGCCCAGGGAGCCCUGCGAGGUGCAGACACAAUUUCCUGUUUAAUUUCCUGACCGUUUCUUACUUGGGAAAGGAAAAGCUGUAAAUUGCAAGAUUGCUUCAGAGACCUUCCUCUGACUUCAGAUGAACUGUUAACCACUUGCAGGAGAGAAUCCAGCAAACCAGCACAAAACUUGUAAAAAACCCCUCAUUUUCUUUUAUAUCUUCUGCGAUUCGCGCCGAGAGGAAAGCUGCGCAAAAAAUAAAGGUUGGAAACAUUUUCCUUGGAAAAUCAAACGGGAGCAACUCCACCUCCAGCUGAGCAGGUAAUUGCACUUUCAUCACUCAGCAAACCGCCUGUGACACACAGACUGUGCUUCUGUGGUCCCAAAUGUGGACAUCCCCCCGCACGGGCUCUGAUUCCCACUCCCACACUCCUUCAAAUCCCGGGAGAUGCCGAGAGAUUCCCACGGUCACAGUGACCGGCUGAUCCAACGGGACAUUCCCGCGGGCGGGGUCACCGGGAAUGCUGCGGGGUAAUGAACGCCCUUAGGGUUAAUGAAGGUGGGCUGGCGCCGGGCAGCUCUUGGCACGCAGGGACACGGUGACACCCGGCUGGGGCUGCGUGACCUGCAGCAGGAGAGCUCAGAUCUCCAGCCAGCCCUGCCCCAAAGAGCCCUGAAUCCCGGCACGGGUGGCACAGUGCCACGGCUCCCAAAAGCAGGAUGGAGCUAGCAGCACCUGGGACAGCCCCUGCAGGACACAGGUCUCCACCUGGCUCUGAGCCCCCUCUUUAGAGGUUCAAAACCUGCAGUGUAAGAUGAAGAAAAUGGAUUAAGGUGGGAAUGUCACUUUUGAGAGCAUUUGUAUUUCGGUUUCUCAUUUCACGUGGCUAAAUUUUAACUUUGCCUAGAAAUGGGAGAUAAAACGAUUGCUCCAGCAGGGGUGCCCAGGCAGGUACAGCAGGAAGCUGCAGCAUCUCCUGGCGCUGCUGCAGAACCACAGAGCCUCUGCAGGACAGCAAACACUCUUUCCUACGCCAGUGCUUGGGAGCAGAUGCAAAAAUGGCUUCCUGGGGAAGGGAUCCACCUUACCCUAGCCUGGCUGGCAAGUGUUCCAGGCACAACUUCAGCAGCACCUUGGCAAUGCUGUGACAGCCAUGCAGAGCCACUGGGGAGCUUCUCUUGCCAUCUGAUGGGGCUGAUGGAAUGGGGAGAGUCCAAAGGCUGCUGACAGCUGAGACUGUCAAUCCAAAUUAACUCUUGCUCUCGUGAUGGAAAUGUGGGACCACAUGGGGUGAACCAUGGUGGGUGCCUUGGUGCCCUUGGUGCUUCCCAGCAGCUGCUGUUUGAGCCCCCCUGGGAAAAGAAAAAUCAAAUUUCACUGCAGAAACUGAGAAACGGCAAAACUUUGCAAUGCAAGCAUAAAGGUUUUUUUAGCCUUUAUUUCUGGGAAGACAGCGUGGGCUGAAGCUUCCCCUUCCUUCUUCACCCUCUCCCCCUGGGGUGAGGGGAAGGGCUGAGGGGAAGGGCUGGGAAAGCACCUGGUGCAGGCCAGGGCUGGUUUCCUCUAUGGCCCUGUGCAAAUCAAGGCCACAGUGGGGGAUGCCACAGGCACCUGGUCCAGCAGGCCAGAGCAUCCAUGGCUUCCUCAGCACAAACCCAAACCUGAGACCCACCCCCACACAUCCCUGGGGCUGCAGGGUGGUCAGAGCCCUGGGCAGCGUUGCCAGGAGCAUGGGAGGGUGGCACAGCCCACACAGGAGCAUCAGCACCUCUCCCAGAUCCCAGAGGUGGGGAUGAGGGACCCACAGGGCUGGCCAGGCACACACAGGGAACGCCACAGGCUCAGCAGCUUCCCUUCCUCUUUCUGCCAACCACUAAAAUAGUCCCACCUGGCUCCAUCCCCUCCCUGGCAGGGAGAGGUUAAAAACAGGGAGAGGGGCCAGGGGGUGGCUGGCAGCAGGAGUGUCACUCCUCAGGGACUCACAUGCUCCAGGAACAGGCACCCGCUCCCAGGACGAGCUGGUGUUGCAGGGAGAGGCACUGCAUGUGUGAAAAACACCACUCAGCCCCAACAUUGCUGCUCUCAUGUGGGCUCCUGCUUGGAGCUCCAGGGAGAUGCUCAAGGGAAGAGGGCAGGGGGGGCUCCUGCUGUGAAUAUCUCCUGGGAAAUUGCUGUUUCCAGACUCAGGCCAUGCUGGGUUUGAACAAAGGCUUCUUUACUUUACUAGGCAAAUGGGAAGGUGAGCACAGAGGAUCCUCUCGCAGCACACCAGGCCAAGACAGGGAGUUGCAAACUCUUUUUGACCUGUGCACACCAACUUUUUCCCCAGCUACACUACCUAGAAAAACCAACAGCAUUUGCAUACACGGUUUCAUCCAGUAUCCCCCUCCCCAUUUAGAGAACAAAAAUAUCUCUAUGGCAGAAACUAAAAACUUUGUUAGAAGCUCUGGGUCCCCUCACACUCUGUGUCCCAGAGCUGCAAGGGGAGGGAAGUGGCUGCUGUAGGGGGCUCAGGGUGGGGCAGGUUGGUGCUGGGUGCUGCCCUGUGGCUCCAGCCACCACCCCCUUGAGGGGACAUUGCUUUCACCCUCUGGGGUAAAAGUUGGGUUUUUCAGUGUUUUGCCACCUGCAGCUCUUGAUGCCUUUCCACCAGCUGUGGAAGAGCUGGGUCAGCAGUUCACAUCCCAUCCCUACUGCACACAUUUAGGGCUAAAUAAGGGGGAACAGUGAGAAACCACUUGGCAAAGCUUUGUUUUGGAGCCCCAGCCCUGCUCUGCCAGGAGACAGACACCUGUGUGGACCCUAAGACCCUCCUUGUUCCCAAACCUCAGUCUUCACCUUCCAGCUUCUGUGACAACCCGUGCUCAGGUCCCACAGGCAGGUUUUAUUAUUUUAUCCCCCAGGUCUGGUUUCCUCCCUGCAUCUCUGGGUUAGAGACGUGCCACGUGCAGCUGAAGGUUGAGCUGAGCUUACCUGAGCAGCUGAAGUUCAGACUCAUCCCACCCUGGAGCACCCUGAAACUGGCAGAGCACAUUGCUGAUGUCAUUUUUGGCUGUAGUUUCCUCGGGGUUUUCUUUUUUUAAAGCAGAUUUAAAAAAUCCAUCUCUUUAC